GACGAACGCUGGCGGCGUGCUUAACACAUGCAAGUCGAACGGAAAGGCCCCUUCGGGGGUACUCGAGUGGCGAACGGGUGAGUAACACGUGGGCAACCUGCCCCUAGCUCUGGGAUAACUCCGGGAAACCGGUGCUAAUACCGGAUAUCGACCUUUGCGGGCAUCCGCGCUGGUCAAAAGUUUUUCGGCUAGGGAUGGGCCCGCGGCCUAUCAGCUUGUUGGUGGGGUAAUGGCCUACCAAGGCGACGACGGGUAGCCGGCCUGAGAGGGCGUCCGGCCACACUGGGACUGAGACACGGCCCAGACUCCUACGGGAGGCAGCAGUGGGGAAUAUUGCGCAAUGGGCGAAAGCCUGACGCAGCGACGCCGCGUGAGGGAUGACGGCCUUCGGGUUGUAAACCUCUUUCAGCUCUGACGAAGCGAAAGUGACGGUAGGAGCAGAAGAAGCACCGGCCAACUACGUGCCAGCCGCCGCAGUAAAAC
rnacentral:rRNA from 1 species